UGUUGUUUAGUUGAAAAUCAAUUAAAUAAUUUUUGAUUUUGAGUAGUAUUGACUUCAUCAGCUUGCUGCUCUCUUUUCGGAAAUUAUUUAAUGCACUUUUCAGUUAACAAGUCAACAUCAAUUUCUUUUGUUGUAAAAGGGUAAGAGGAAGGUGGCUUACAUUUCGGUGUAAGUGUUUAUAGCCUUUUACCUCUGCAAUCGGAGAGAUUGAGGUCAGCAGCGUAGACUCUUCGGGGUUAGAUACGCUUGUGCUAAGCUAUAGCCUUGUAUAGACAACUUGUUGACUAUGCUCAGUCAUGUAGCUUACUCGCUUGUAGUAUUUUACCUAC
rnacentral:rRNA from 1 species